UUGGGCUAUCGCCAAGCGGUAAGGCACAGGACUUUGACUCCUGCAUUCGGCAGUUCGAAUCUGCCUAGCCCAGG
rnacentral:tRNA from 2 species